GACGAACGCUGGCGGCGUGCCUAAUACAUGCAAGUCGAGCGAUGAUUAAAGAUAGCUUGCUAUUUUUAUGGAGAGCGGCGAACGGGUGAGUAACGCGUGGGAAAUCUGCCGAGUAGCGGGGGACAACGUUUGGAAACGAACGCUAAUACCGCAUAACAAUGAGAAUCGCAUGAUUCUUAUUUAUAAGAAGCAAUUGCUUCACUACUUGAUGAUCCCGCGUUGUAUUAGCUAGUUGGUAGUGUAAAGGACUACCAAGGCGAUGAUACAUAGCCGACCUGAGAGGGUGAUCGGCCACACUGGGACUGAGACACGGCCCAGACUCCUACGGGAGGCAGCAGUAGGGAAUCUUCGGCAAUGGGGGCAACCCUGGCCGAGCAACGCCGCGUGAGUGAAGAAGGUUUUCGGAUCGUAAAACUCUGUUGUUAGAGAAGAACGUUAAGUAGAGUGGAAAAUUACUUAAGUGACGGUAUCUAACCAGAAAGGGACGGCUAACUACGUGCCAGCAGCCGCCGCGG
rnacentral:rRNA from 1 species